UGAAGUUGCCUUCUUGUAAUCAUCGA
rnacentral:piRNA from 1 species